UAGGUGAUCUUAAAGUUCCCUUCCAACCCUAACCAUUCUAUGAUUCUAUGAUUGUAUGAUAUUGGCCUUGGCAUUCAAUUACUUCUUCUCAGAUAAGUGAAGAUAAAGACAACAGUACUUGGUACAACUUUCAAAUUAGGGAAGCCUGGAGAAUCAUCAGUAUUUAAAGCAAACGAUAAUGUUUAUGAUAAAAUAUAAAUAGACCCAGUAAGACAGUGGUAUCAAAAGAGAAAACUGUUUUAUGCUUAGAAUCCUGAAGAAUGAUAGGCAAUUAAAAAAAAUGUAAAAAUAAUCAGCAUUUCUUCAGGUAGCUUUAAUUAUGUCAGUAUUUGUCACGAAAACAUAUACAAUUCCUCCACACAACAGCACCAGAGAUUCUACCAUUCAUCAGAAUGACAGCAUUAAGAAUGUGCCUAGGAGUUAAAAGAGUUGAGGUCUACAGAACCCAAGGUUCUGGAGUCUUAUUAGAAGUGACUUGAGUCACAGGAGUCAGUGAGGGCCACACAUAAGGAAUUAAUUCUAAAAAUCAGACUCAUUAUUAGAAAAAUACUAAAUAUCUAGAGAUCUUAUUUGAGAUUCCUACGUUUGCAAAUUCCAGCCUAAUCCUUAUUGAACUCUGCUGCAAAAUUACUCACUUCUUGUUCUGAGAGUGGCUUUUGGCCCUAUACUCUCAUUUUCACUAGAAAACAUUAGAUAAGUACUAUGUAACUAAUCUCAAGGAAUUCACAACUUUUUCUUUACUUCAGUCACACUCAAAGAAUCAUAACACAAUUCUUCUGCAGUAACUCCAAUAUGAUUGGGUCCUGAAGAAAUUGGAUGAUGUGGUUGUCAAGCUGCUCUCCAUCAUAUCAUAUCAGUCAUGGAUGUCAGGUGAAGUUCCCAGUGACUGGAAAAAGGGAGGCAUCACUCCCAUUUUUAAGACAGGGAGAACGGAAGACCUGGGGAACUAUGGGCUGGUGAGCUGCACAUCUAUGCCUGAAAAGAUCAUGGAGCAGAUCAUCCUGGAAGGCCCAGGGUCCCCAGCACAAGAAAGACAUGGAGCUGUUGGAGCGAGUCCAGAGAAGGGCCAUAAUGAUGAUGAGAGAGCUGAAGCACAUCUCCUACAAAGACAGGCUGAGGGAGCUGAGCUUGUUUAGCUUGGAGAAGAGAAGGCUCCAGGGAGACUCCACUGUGGCCUUUUAGUACUCAAAAGGAGCUUAUAAUCAGGAGGGAGACAGACUUCCUACACGGUUUGAAAGUGAUAGGACUAGGGGGGAUGGUUUUAAACUAAAAAAAGCAUGACUUAAAUUGAUAUUAGGGGAAAAUUUUUCACUGAAAGGGUGGUGAGGUUCUGGAAUACGUAUCUCAGAGAACUUGUGGAUUCCCCAUCCCUAGGGCUAUUCAAGGCCAGGUUGGAUAGUUUCCUGGCAAUUUGAUCUAGUGCCUGAUUUAGUGGGUGGCAUCCCCGUCCACAGCAGGAACUAGAUGAUCUUUAAGGUCCCUUCCAACUCCAGCCAUUGUAUGAUUCCAUGAUUCUGUAGUAGUAAAAAUUCAUUUUUCCAGAUAUUAAUCCAAAUUAAGCUUACAACUCCAUUUUUAUAACAUUCUAGAAUAUGGCAAAUUUGACAGCAGCAAAGAGAUUUUUGAGUUCAGUCCCUGAAUUAAAUUACAUUUUGGCUUACCUAUCAAUUUCUCUAAUUUUCAAAGAAGAUUGUUCUUCUUCCUCAAAACCUAUGAGGUUCCUCAGUUAAGCGCUCAAUACAUUAUAGGGCAGAAUGAAAGCCUCAGGAAAAAUAUGUCUAUGGGCCAGGGUGUAGAGACUUAAGAACAAGUCAAAGAAAUCAAGCAGGGGUAGAUAAGUGGAGUAAUCACUCUGAUGUGCUGUGUGGACAGUGAAGUUGCUCAGUCACUGACAUUUGCUGUUCUUUUCUGAGCUGGACAUGAGUGGACUGUCAUCUUUCAUCAGUUAUGGACUAAACUGUUUAUUUUGAAUGACACAGUUGAGAAUGAUCUUGCUACAUACAGUGUUUUCUACCAGCAAAGUGUUCAGAACAAGGAUAAAUAUGUCAGCACUGAACCAUGACCUUGUGACCCUGGUCUUGUUGCUGGACUUCUGUCCAAACUUUGAUAAACAGAAGAUAAUCAUAAUAUAACAAAUUAUGGAGAAAGGACAUUCCAGCUUGCUGCAUUUCCAGUUGUUUCCUUCUCAGAGAAAUGAGAGGGUUGUUCUUAAUUAGGAGUACAAGCCAAGUGCUUCUCUUGCUCAACAACCCUAUGUUACUGGAGUACACAAAAACUGGUCCACUACUACUGGUGCUGUGAUUUAUCUUCAGGGACAGCCUGGCCCCCUGCCAGCUAUGGAAUCAAGGAUGUUCGACAACAAUGUUCCUCUGAAGACAGGAGAAACACAGAGACAGCAAUGAUGACUUUUCCCUUAUCAGCCCCUACUUGGACAUCCCAUGCCUGUGUAGCUGUGAACAGGAGGCAGCACAGGUCUCUAGUACGUCAGUUUGAAGGCGAGGCUGCAGCGCACAAGUGUAGUGACA